rnacentral:rRNA from 1 species
GACGAACGCUGGCGGCGUGCUUAACACAUGCAAGUCGAGCGGUAAGGCCCUUUCGGGGGUACGACGAGCGGCGAACGGGUGAGUAACACGUGGGUGACCUGCCCUCAGCUCUGGGAUAAGCCCGGGAAACUGGGUCUAAUACCGGAUAUGACUUCAUGACGCAUGUUGUGGAGUGGAAAGCCUUGUGCGGCUGAGGAUGGGCCCGCGGCCUAUCAGCUUGUUGGGGGGGUGA